GACGAACGCUGGCGGCGUGCCUAAUACAUGCAAGUUGAGCGAUGAAGAUUGGUGCUUGCCCCAAUUUGAAGAGCAGCGAACGGGUGAGUAACGCGUGGGGAAUCUGCCUUUGAGCGGGGGACAACAUUUGGAAACGAAUGCUAAUACCGCAUAACAACUUUAAACAUAAGUUUUAAGUUUGAAAGAUGCAAUUGCAUCACUCAAAGAUGAUCCCGCGUUGUAUUAGCUAGUCGGUGAGGUAAAGGCUCACCAAGGCGAUGAUACAUAGCCGACCUGAGAGGGUGAUCGGCCACAUUGGGAAUGAGACACGGCCCAAACUCCUACGGGAGGCAGCAGUAGGGAAUCUUCGGCAAUGGACGAAAGUCUGACCGAGCAACGCCGCGUGAGUGAAGAAGGGUUUCGGAUCGUAAAACUCUGUUGGUAGAGAAGAACGUUGGUGAGAGUGGAAAGCUCAUCAAGUGACGGUAACUACCCAGAAAGGGACGGCUAACUACGUG
rnacentral:rRNA from 1 species